UACGUAGGGGGCAAGCGUUGUCCGGAUUUAUUGGGCGUAAAGAGCGUGUAGGCGGCCAUGUAGGUCCGUUGUGAAAACUCGAGGCUCAACCUCGAGACGCCGAUGGAAACCAUGUGGCUAGAGUCCGGAAGAGGAGAGUGGAAUUCCUGGUGUAGCGGUGAAAUGCGCAGAUAUCAGGAGGAACACCAGCGGCGAAGGCGGCGCUCUGGGGCCGGUACUGACGCUGAGGAGCGAAAGCGUGGGGAGCAAACAGG
rnacentral:rRNA from 1 species